rnacentral:rRNA from 1 species
UACGGGGGGGGGCAAGCGUUGUUCGGAAUUACUGGGCGUAAAGGGCUCGUAGGCGGCCAACUAAGUCAGACGUGAAAUCCCCAGGCUCAACCUGGGAACUGCGUCCGAUACUGGAUGGCUUGAAUCCGGGAGAGGGAUGCAGGAAUUCCAGGUGUAGCGGUGAAAUGCGUAGAUAUCUGGAGGAAUACCGGUGGCGAAGGCGGCAUCCUGGACCGGCAUUGACGCUGAGGAGCGAAAGCCAGGGGAGCAAAGCGGG